rnacentral:rRNA from 1 species
GACGAACGCUGGCGGCGUGCUUAACACAUGCAAGUCGAACGGUAAGGCCUCUUCGGGGGUACACGAGUGGCGAACGGGUGAGUAACACGUGAGUAACCUGCCCUUGACUUUGGGAUAACAUCUGGAAACAGGUGCUAAUACCGGAUAUGAGCUUGUCCUGCAUGGGAUGGGUUGGAAAGCUCCGGCGGUCAUGGAUGGACUCGCGGCCUAUCAGCUUGUUGGUGAGGUAAUGGCUCACCAAGGCUUCGACGGGUAGCCGGCCUGAGAGGGCGACCGGCCACAUUGGGACUGAGAUACAGCCCAAACUCCUACGGGAGGCAGCAGUGGGGAAUAUUGCACAAUGGGCGGAAGCCUGAUGCAGCAACGCCGCGUGCGGGAUGACGGCCUUCGGGUUGUAAACCGCUUUCAGCAGGGACGAAGCGUGAGUGACGGUACCUGCAGAAGAAGCACCGGCUAACUACGUGCCAGCCGCCGCCGUAAUAC